rnacentral:lncRNA from 1 species
CGUGGGCGAAGUUCGUCCGCGGGACUCGGAAUGGCACCAGACUUGGCGGGCGGCCUCCGUGUGCCAAUAAUAGGCCACGGGCACAGCCGCGCCCAAAAAACAGCCCCCGAAGUUCGGGGUCCCAAGACGCCCCAGCGGAAAAAUGGCCAAAAAACGGGUGGGCUAUAGCCUUGGUGGGGGGCGUGGGCGAAGUUCGUCCGCGGGACUCGGAAUGGCACCAGACUUGGCGGGCGGCCUCCGUGUGCCAAAAAUAGGCCACGGGCACAGCCGCGCCCAAAAAACAGCCCCCGAAGUUCGGGGUCCCAAGACCCCCCAGCGGAAAAAUGGCCAAAAAACGGUGGGCUAUAGCCUUGGUGGGGGGCGUGGGCGAAGUUCGUCCGUGGGACUCGGAAUGGCACCAGACUUGGCGGGCGGCCUCCGUGUUGCAAAAAUAGGCCACGGGCACAGCCGCGCCCAAAAAACAACCCCCGAAGUUCGGGGUCCCAAGACCCCCCAGCGGAAAAAUGGCCAAAAAACGGUGGGCUAUAGCCUUGGUGGGGUGCGUGGGCGAAGUUCGUCCGCGGGACUCGGAAUGGCACCAGACUUGGCGGGCGGCCUCCGUGUGCCAAAAAUAGGCCACGGGCACAGCCGCGCCCAAAAAACAGCCCCCGAAGUUCGGGGUCCCAAGACCCCCCAGCGGAAAAAUGGCCAAAAAACGGUGGGCUAUAGCCUUGGUGGGGGGCGUGGGCGAAGUUCGUCCGUGGGACUCGGAAUGGCACCAGACUUGGCGGGCGGCCUCCGUGUGCCAAAAAUAGGCCACGGGCACAGCCGCGCCCAAAAAAACAGCCCCCGGAAGUUCGGGGUCCCUAGACCCCCCAGCGGAAAAAUGGCCAAAAAACGGUGGGCUAUAGCUUGGUGGGGGGCGUGGGCGAAGUUCGUCCGUGGGACUCGGAAUGGCACCAGACUUGGCAGGCGGCCUCCGUGUUGCAAAAAUAGGCCACGGGCACAGCCGCGCCCNNNNNNNNNNNNNNNNNNNNNNNNNNNNNNNNNNNNNNNNNNNNNNNNNNNNNNNNNNNNNNNNNNNNNNNNNNNNNNNNNNNNNNNNNNNNNNNNNNNNGGGCGAAGUUCGUCCGCGGAAUCGGAAUGGCACCAGACUUAGCGGGCGGCCUCCGUGUGCCAAAAAUAGGCAACGGGCACAGCCGCGCCCAAAAAACAGCCCCCGAAGUUCGGGGUCCCAAGACCCCCCAGCGGAAAAAUGGCCAAAAAACGGGUGGGCUAUAGCCUUGGUGGGGGGCGUGGGCGAAGUUCGUCCGCGGGACUCGGAAUGGCACCAGACUUGGCGGGCGGCCUCCGUGUGCCAAAAAUAGGCCACGGGCACAGCCGCGCCCAAAAAACAGCCCCCGAAGUUCGGGGUCCCAAGACCUCCCAGCGGAAAAAUGGCCAAAAAACGGGUGGGCUAUAGCCUUGGUGGGGGGCGUGGGCGAAGUUCGUCCGCGGGACUCGGAACGGCACCAGACUUGGCGGGCGGCCUCCGUGUGCCAAAAAUAGGCCACGGGCACAGCCGCGCCCAAAAAUCAGCCCCCGAAGUUCGGGGUCCCAAGACCUCCCAGCGGAAAAAUGGCCAAAAAACGGGUGGGCUAUAGCCUUGGUGGGGGGCGUGGGCGAAGUUCGUCCGCGGGACUCGGAACGGCACCAGACUUGGCGGGCGGCCUCCGUGUGCCAAAAAUAGGCCACGGGCACAGCCGCGCCCAAAAAUCAGCCCCCGAAGUUCGGGGUCCCAAGACCCCCCAGCAGAAAAAUGGCCAAAAAACGGGUGGGCUAUAGCCUUGGUGGGGGGCGUGGGCGAACUUCGUCCGCGGGACUCGGAAUGGCACCAGACUUGGCGGGCGGCCUCCGUGUGCCAAAAAUAGGCCACGGACACAGCCGCGCCCAAAAAACAGCCCCCGAAGUUCGGGGUCCCAAGACCCCCCAGCGGAAAAAUGGCCAAAAAACGGUGGGCUAUAGCCUUGGUGGGGUGCGUGGGCGAAGUUCGUCCGCGGGACUCGGAAUGGCACCAGACUUGGCGGGCGGCCUCCGUGUGCCAAAAAUAGGCCACGGGCACAGCCGCGCCCAAAAAACAGCCCCCGAAGUUCGGGGUCCCAAGAACCCCCAGCGGAAAAAUGGCCAAAAAACGGGUGGGCUAUAGCCUUGGUGGGGGGCGUGGGCGAAGUUCGUCCGCGGGACUCGGAAUGGCACCAGACUUGGCGGGCGGCCUCCGUGUGCCAAAAAUAGGCCACGGGCACAGCCGCGCCCAAAAAACAACCCCCGAAGUUCGGGGUCCCAAGACCUUCCAGCGGAAAAAUGGCCAAAAAACGGUGGGCUAUAGCCUUGGUGGGGGGCGUGGGCGAAGUUCGUCCGUGGGACUCGGAAUGGCACCAGACUUGGCGGGCGGCCUCCGUGUGCCAAAAAUAGGCCACGGGCACAGCCGCGCCCAAAAAACAGCCCCCGAAGUUCGGGGUCCCAAGACCCCCCAGCGGAAAAAUGGCCAAAAAACGGGUGGGCUAUAGCCUUGGUGGGGGGCGUGGGCGAAGUUCGUCCGCGGGACUCGGAAUGGCACCAGACUUGGCGGGCGGCCUCCGUGUGCCAAAAAUAGGCCACGGGCACAGCCGCGCCCAAAAAACAGCCCCCGAAGUUCGGGGUCCCAAGACCCCCCAGCGGAAAAAUGGCCAAAAAACGGGUGGGCUAUAGCCUUGGUGGGGGGCGUGGGCGAAGUUCGGCCGCGGGACUCGGAAUGGCACCACACUUGGCGGGCGGCCUCCGUGUGCCAAAAAUAGGCCACGGGCACAGCCGCGCCCAAAAAACAGCCCCCGAAGUUCCGGGUCCCAAGACCCCCCAGCGGAAAAAUGGCCAAAAAACGGUGGGCUAUAGCCUUGGUGGGGGGCGUGGGCGAAGUUCGUCCGCGGGACUCGGAAUGGCACCAGACUUGGCGGGCGGCCUCCGUGUGCCAAAAAUAGGCCACGGGCACAGCCGCGCCCAAAAAUGAGCUCCCGAAGGUCGGGUUCCAACACCCCCCAGCGGAAAAAUGGCCAAAAAACGGCUGCGCUAUAGCCUUGGUGGGGGGCGUGGGCGAAGUUCGUCCGCCGGACUCGGAAUGGCCCCAGACUUUGCGGGCGGCCACCGUUUGCCAAAAAUAGGCCACGGGCACAGCCGCGCCCAAAAAUGAGCGCCCGAAGGUCGGGGCGCCAACACCCCCCAGCGGAAAAAUGGCCAAAAAACGUGUGGGCUAUAGCCUUGGUGGGGGGCGUGGGCGAAGUUCGUCCGCCUGACUCGGAAUGGCCCCAGACUUUGCGGGCGGCCUCCGUGUGCCAAAAAUAGGCCACGGGCACAGCCGCGCCCAAAAAUGAGCGCCCGAUGGUCGGGGCGCCCACACCCCCCAGCGGAAAAAUGGCCAAGAAACGGGUGGGCUAUAGCCUUUGGGGGGGGCGUGGGCGAAAUUCGUCCGCCGGAUUCGGAAUGGCCCCAGACUUUGCGGGCGGCCUCCGUGUGCCAAAAAUAGGCCACGGGCACAGCCGCGCCCAAAAAUGAGCACCCGAAGGUCGGNNNNNNNNNNNNNNNNNNNNNNNNNNNNNNNNNNNNNNNNNNNNNNNNNNNNNNNNNNNNNNNNNNNNNNNNNNNNNNNNNNNNNNNNNNNNNNNNNNNNCAACACCCCCCAGCGGAAAAAUGGCCAAGAAACGGGUGGGCUAUAGCCUUGGUGGGGCGCGUGGGCGAUGUUCAUCCGCCGGACUCGGAAUGGCCCCAGACUUUGCGGGCGGCCUCCCUGUGCCAAAAAUAGGCCACGGGCACAGCCGAGCCCAAAAAUGAGCGCCCGAAGGCCGGGGCGCCAACACCCCCCAGCGGAAAAAUGCCAAAAAACGGGUGGGCUAUAGCCUUGGUGGGGGGCGUGGGCGAAGUUCGUCCGCCGGACUCGGAAUGGCCCCAGACAUUGCGGGCGGCCUCCGUGUGCCAAAAAUUGGCCACGGGCACAGCCGCGCCCAAAAAUGAGCUCCCGAAGGUCGGGUUCCAACACCCCCCAGAGGAAAAAUGGCCAAAAAACGGGUGCGCUAUAGCCUUGGUGGGGGGCGUGGGCGAAGUUCGUCCGCCGGACUCGGAAUGUCCCCAGACUUUGCGGGCGGCCUCCGUGUGCCAAAAAUAGGCCACGGGCACAGCCGCGCCCAAAAAUGAGCGCCCGAAGGUCGGGGCGCCAACACCCCCCAGCGGAAAAAUGGCCAAGAAACGGGUGUGCUAUAGCCUUGGUGGGGGGCGUGGGCGAAGUUCGUCCGCCGGACUCGGAAUGUCCCCAGACUUUGCGGGCGGCCUCCGUGUGCCAAAAAUAGGCCACGGGCACAGCCGCGCCCAAAAAUGAGCGCCCGAAGGUCGGGGCGCCAACACCCCCCAGCGGAAAAAUGGCCAAGAAACGGGUGUGCUAUAGCCUUGGUGGGGGGCGUGGGCGAAGUUCGUCCGCCGGACUCGGAAUGGCCCCAGACUUUGCGGGCGGCCUCCGUUUGCCAAAAAUAGGCCACGGACACAGCCGCGUCCAAAAAUGAGCGCCCGAAGGUCGGGGCGCCAACACCCCCCAGCGGAAAAAUGGCGAAAAAACGUGUGGGCUAUAGCCUUGGUGGGGGGCGUGGGCGAAGUUCGUCCGCCUGACUCGGAAUGGCCCCAGACUUUGCGGGCGGCCUCCGUGUGCCAAAAAUAGGCCACGGGCACAGCCGCGCCCAAAAACGAGCGCCCGAAGGUCGGGGCGCCAACACCCCCCAGCGGAAAAAUGGCCAAAAAACGGGUGGGCUAUAGCCUUGGCGGGGGGCGUGGGCGAAGUUCGACCGCCGGACUCGGAAUGGCCCCAGACUUUGCAGGCGGCCUCCGUUUACCAAAAAUAAGCCACGGGCACAGCCGCGCCCAAAAAUGAGCGCCCGAAGGUCGGGGCGCCAACACCCCCCAGCGGAAAAAUAGCCAAAAAACGGGUGGGCUAUAGCCUUGGUGGGGGGCGUGGGCGAAGUUCGUCCGCCGAACUCGGAAUGGCCCCAGACUUUGCUGGCGGCCUCCGUGUCCCAAAAAUAGGCCACGGGCACAGCCGCGCCCAAAAAUGAGCGCCCGAAGGUCGGGGCGCCAACACCCCCCAGCGGAAAAAUGGCCGAAAAACGGGUGGGCUAUAGCCUUGGUGGGGGGCGUGGGCAAAGUUCGUCCGCCGGACUCGGAA